rnacentral:tRNA from 1 species
GUCCAAGUGGCGGAAUUGGUAGACGCGCAUCCUUGAGGGGGAUGUGCCCGUUAGGGCGUGCUGGUUCAACUCCAGUCUUGGACACAA